rnacentral:rRNA from 1 species
GGAUGAGCCCGCGGCCUAUCAGCUAGUUGGUGGGGUGAUGGCCUACCAAGGCGACGACGGGUAGCCGGCCUGAGAGGGCGACCGGCCACACUGGGACUGAGACACGGCCCAGACUCCUACGGGAGGCAGCAGUGGGGAAUAUUGCACAAUGGGCGAAAGCCUGAUGCAGCGACGCCGCGUGAGGGAUGACGGCCUUCGGGUUGUAAACCUCUUUCAGCAGGGAAGAAGCGAAAGUGACGGUACCUGCAGAAGAAGCGCCGGCUAACUACGUGCCAGCAGCCGCGGCCG